AACAUCUGCUCUCUUGCUGCUGCUCCUUCAUGUUAAAGGUUCCCUCAUAUGCCCCUUAUUCCCUGUUGCUCAACAAUGCAGAAGCCUUUCCAACUCCGCUCGCUCGCUCUCUCCUUCUCCAAACAAUCACUGCAGAGAGAAGGCAACUGGGAGAGAAAGAGGAAGAAAAACAGAAUGAAACAAGCAAACAACAGACUUUUUCAGCUGGCAAGGAGCCAUCCCUUCGCUCGCUAUUCUGGCUGCUUUCACUUGUUUUGCCUGAAUAUUCUCUCCUUGGGGACACUAAUAUCAUGAAGGGGUGUUUUUGUUUCCAAAGUAGCAUUUACGGUUUGUCUCCCCUUCCCUUCUUUUUUUUUUUUUCACUCUUCGUUGUGCCUCCAGUUCCCUAAAAGACGUACCGUCCCAUCAAAAUCCCCUCGAGGGCCAGAAGUUUCAAUUUGGGGCUGCGAACUUCAGCACCGGGCGAAGGCAGCCGGUAGAAGGAGCAAGCAACAUGAACCGGAGUUAAAGCUCGUUCAACUGGUCCAGCCUGUGGAUUUGAUGAUUGCAUUUUCACGCUAUGAGAACUUGACAUGCAAGUGGAGAUGAGAAAUACAAAUUAUCACAAGAGACGAGGUGGCUGAGAGAAGGGUCCGGACCGAAUGGAGAAGAUGAUAACAGAG